UAUUCAAGGAAGCAAAUUUGAGUUUGAUUAGGCAAUGCGUAAAGCAAAAGCUUCCAUCAGUAAAGGGAAUACAAAACUUAGGAGAAUCACCUACAUUGUGAUAAGGCAAGCAUAAGAAUUAAUCAAGCAUAAUGCCUGUACAAAUUGUGGACUUUAUUAUACCAGGAGGGGUGGCAGUUGCUGGGGGAGUAUGUUCAUUCUGUUUAAGGGUGUUUAGGUUAUUUUCUUUUUAAUAUAAUAUUAUAUGAACAUCUACUAAAUGGACAUUGGUUUGUUCAAGAUUUUUUUAUUUUGUUUGAAUUACAUGACAGAAAUUAUUACCAAAAUCAUAACAGCAAAUGGAACAUACACUUUAAACUUCUCAGGAUAUAACGCUGCUGAAUGGGAGAACUAGAUACGAACCCUCUGCGAUUACCCGUCCAUUAACAUCCAGACAGCGAGGUGGUGAAGGAGGCGGUGGAGGGGAAGUAAAACGAAACAGCCCCUACAGAGAGAUACCAUGCUUGAUCAUGCAGCUUCAUGGUGAGAUGAACAAUUAUAACGAGGUGUUCAGGUGUGGAAAUGAACAGCGGCUGUAAGACUACGUGUGUCCUUGACCUUGAAGGUAUGAAGAUCGAGCAAACAUGUGCUCUACGUUUGACCGAUGUUGUGAACAUGUAUAACAAAUUAAUCUGCGACCAUUUGAUCGGUUAACGAGUUCUGGUGCGCACUCAAAAAUGGCCAUUGACCCUUUAAGUCAUGACGUGUGACAUUGACCUUGAAGUUACCGGACCGAUACAUGCACUCUUAGUGUCAUAUCCGUGUGGUGAAUAUUUGGCCAUGAUAGUUCUUCCAGCGGUUACAAGAGGAACCAUAAGUGGACAGACGGACAUCUGAGAAAACAGUAACUAUCUGCAAAGCUUAGGCUCACUGGUCUAUGGGACAUGAAUACAAACAUAUUUUCAGAUCGACGUAGUUCGAGUUUUGUCCCGUUCAUUUAUCACGCUGGAUGUGUGUACAUUAUCAAUCAUAUAUCAGGAAGGCAACCUCGUAACAGGGGACCAUGACCAAAUAGCUGAGCUCGAUUCUCUUGUUUAUUGAUUCAAAUUGAAAUGACUUGGUGCAUUGUAAACGCCAAUGAAAACCUAUUCUCCUGUAUUAAAUAAUUUUGUAACAAAUGGUAUAACUGUUGACGUGUUUGACAAAACUAUCAUUUUUAUUUUCAUCCGCACGUUUGAAAUAACCCCUAAUUUAAAAUUUGAGCUAAGUUCUGUUAACGUGAAAAUUUAGUUGGUUUAAAAUAUUCACUUCCCGAUUGAAAGUGCUACUUAAAUGUUGACAGGUCAUAUUAUACGUCCUGUUUGUGAGAGCUUCCUUAAAUUUAAGAUGCUAAUCAUGUGAAACAUACAAAUACAAGGAUGUAACUUCAAUCAAUCCUUAGAUGAUAUGUUUCCUGAUAUAAUUAUA